rnacentral:rRNA from 1 species
CAAUAGCGUAUGUUAAAGUUGUUGCGGCUAAAAGCUCGUAGUUGGAUUUCUGUUGAGGACAUCUGGUCCGCUCUAUGAGCGUGUAUCUAGUUUGGCCUCGGCAUCCGCUCUGCAAACAUGUCUGCGCUUGAUUGCGUGGCGUGGGGGUAGGGCCUUUUACUUUGAGGAAAUUAGAGUGUUACGGCAGGCAAACGCCUUGAAUACAUUAGCAUGGAAUAAUAAUAUAGGACCUGAGUUCUAUUUUGUUGGUUUCUAGAGCUUAGGUAAUGAUUAAUAGGGACACUUGGGGCCAUUCGUAUUAACGCGUCAGAGGUGAAAUUCUUGGAUUGCGUUACGACGAACUACUGCGAAAGCAUUUGGCAAGGAUGUUUUCAUUGAUCAAGAACGAAAGUGUGGGGAUCGAAGACGAUCAGAU